rnacentral:tRNA from 1 species
AGCCCUGUGGCUCAGUUGGUAGAGCAUGGUGUGUGCAACGCCAGGGUUGUGGGUUCGAUUCCCACGGGGGGCCA